rnacentral:rRNA from 1 species
UGGGGAAUAUUGGGCAAUGGGCGAAUGCCUGACCCAGCAACGCCGCGUGAAGGAAGAAGGCCCUCGGGUUGUAAACUUCUUUUGUCAGGGACGAAGCAAGUGACGGUACCUGACGAAUAAGCCACGGCUAACUACGUGCCAGCAGCCGCGGUAAUACGUAGGUGGCAAGCGUUAUCCGGAUUUACUGGGUGUAAAGGGCGUGUAGGCGGGAGUGCAAGUCGGAUGUGAAAACUAUGGGCUCAACCCAUAGCCUGCAUUUGAAACUGUACUUCUUGAGUGAUGGAGAGGCAGGCGGAAUUCCCUGUGUAGCGGUGAAAUGCGUAGAUAUAGGGAGGAACACCAGUGGCGAAGGCGGCCUGCUGGACAUUAACUGACGCUGAGGCGCGAAAGCGUGGGGAGCAAACAGGAAUAGAUACCC